rnacentral:lncRNA from 1 species
GGUCAGGCCGACACACCAGAGGAGCCUCUGGGCCCUGGAAGGGGAGCCGCGAGGGGGGCCCCCAGGACAGAUACGCGCUCUUGCAAGAGUGCCUUCCAGAGCCCGGCUGUGUGGCCCCUGAUUUUACACGCAGGGCGCGCCGUCUGUGCUCAUGGUCUCUUUCACCACAUUUGCAGAAGCGGGGGGACCCAACAGUGUCAGGUGCCCCAGCCCCGGGGACCCCAGCGCAGGGGAUGCCCUUUGCGCCGCAGCGGCCGCGGUCACCUGUCUCCGGCCCAGCACGGUUUCCCGCCUCCGCCUCUCCCACCUGCUCCCCCGGGUCCCGGCCCCUUCUCUGCUGGCAGCGCCGACUCUGCGUGGCUACGACGAGCCUGUGCUGCGUGUUCCUCUGAAUGCGGAGUUGUUUUCUUGGCCUCCAAUUCUGCGGACUGGAAAACAGCAUAUAGCCCGAGGCCACCUGAAUGAUGCUGGUGUCACGUGUUAAAAAACAUAUUUGUUCGGUGCCCUCCAAGGACAAAUGACAGGCAUGUAAAAACGUUUCUCCGCUUUUCUUUCAGGGAAUACUUAGUUCAGAAUUACCUUCUGUCAAGGAAACACUGCUUCCACGUCCGUCCGUGUUAUUUCCCAGGGCUUCUGUCUUCCAGGGAAAUGCUGCCUGCUGCGUGACACGCGCGAUUACAUGUUUACAGAACCUGUUUAUACGUCUGCUGCUAUGACUGUUUCUCUUUAGAAAAGCCACUCAUUAGAACCAAACAGAGGCUUUCGUUUGGGAGAAACAAGUAAAUGUGGGGAGCGGGUUACCCCCAGCGGAGCCGGCCUGAUUUGUCCGGGUGUCUGGGGACCACGGGCCCCAGGGCUGAGCGGCGGAGCCCAGCCCUGGAACCUCAUGCCCUCCUGGGAAAAGGCACCCAGCUGACACCCACAGGCAUGCACACGGCUGCUCCACAUGGAAGCACGUGUCCACAUGCACUCACACGCACACACCGGCACUUAGCCCUCACGCAUGUGCCACGGCCCGUGUGCAUGUGCAUCCACACCAGACACGUUCACACGCGUGCACCUGCUCGGAGCCCACCCUCCCGAGCUCAUUUAACCCCAGCUACCUCUUAAAGGCCUGUCUCCAGUGGGCUCACGGUGGGGUUAGGGCUUCGACCUGUGGGUGUGUGGGGAGGGCACGCAGCUCAGCCCUUGGCGUCGUCCUUUCCAGUUCGGUGAACAGAGCAGGGGACACCGCAGGACACGUGCACAUGAGCUCUGAGAGAAGAAAGGGUUCCCGCCCUCCUGCCUGAGCUCAUGCCCCCACUGAGCACGCGUCCAGCUGAGUGUCCUGACUUCCUUCUGUCGCCUGCUUGGCAAGACCUGUGCUCCCGGGGGCUCUGCGUCCCCGGCUGUCCGGGAGCAUCCGGGAGCGGGGAUCCGGGUGCUCAGAGGCUGGGGGCAGUCCUGACAGAUGCGCUGCCCGCCUUGUCCUGUCCGGCCACGUCCAUCGGGGGGGUUCCGGGAGGAGAAGGGCCAGAGGAAAGAAGAGAAAGGGGGGCUGGGCCAGAGGUGCCUUGCCCGCCCAGUUGCCACAGCCGUUGCAAUAAAUCCCAGGGAAAGAACUGGGCCUCCUUCAGGGCUUUGGAGGUGGAGACCCUGGGGGAUAAAGCCCCACCCGACCCCGAGGCCUGGUGUUGAUGGGAACAAAAGAUUGUGCGGGCCUGGCAGCUGCUAGAGAAGGGGCAGCUGCCGGAUCUGGAAGCCCUGUUCUCAAAAGACCCCUGCAGAGAAAGGCGGUAACGUGGCCGGGAAGAGGGGGAUGCCAGGCAGCGAGACUCCAGUCCUGCAGCCCUGGCCUCCACCGCGUCACUGACCAGCACCCCAGACACUCGGGAUGCAGGCCAGCUUCUAACCUGAUGGCCGUCAGGCUCCAGGCUCCAGACCACCCCCCCACCGUCCCCGCCUCUCACCCCUCCCUCGGGCUCACCCUCAUCGCUCUUCCAGAAAGAGCCCCCCACAUAGCUCAGAAGAGAGGGGGCCUCUAAACUGCUCUCUGCUGAGACCGUGUAACCGGAGACCAGCUCAGACCGUAUUUUCACUUUUUGGACUAAGGUGGAUCAUCUGAUG